rnacentral:tRNA from 1 species
ACCUGGCUGGCUCAGUUGGAAGAGCUUGUGACUCUUAAUCUCGGGGCAUGAGUUGAAACCCCAUGUUGGGUG